rnacentral:rRNA from 1 species
UGGGGAAUAUUGCGCAAUGGGCGAAAGCCUGACGCAGCGACGCCGCGUGGAGGAUGACGGUUUUCGGAUUGUAAACUCCUGUUAAGUGGGAAGAAAAGGCUACUUCUAAUACAAGUAGAUUAUGACGGUACCACUAGAGAAAGCACCGGCUAACUUCGUGCCAGCAGCCGCGGUAAUACGAGGGGUGCAAGCGUUAUUCGGAAUUAUUGGGCGUAAAGGGUGCGUAGACGGUCUGUUAAGUCUGUUGUUAAAUUUUCCGGCCCAACCGGAGAGCUGCAAUGGAAACUGGCGAACUAGAGGGUGAGAGAGAGAAGUGGAAUUCCCGGAGUAGCGGUAAAAUGCGUAGAUCUCGGGAGGAACACCGAUGGCGAAGGCAGCUUCUUGGCUCAUUCCUGACGUUGAUGCACGAAAGCGUGGGGAGCAAACAG